UUUUAGGAAGUAUCAUCUAUUAUGAGUUAAUGUAGAAAAUUUCAAGGAAUUAUAAUAUUUUCUACUGGGUUUGGAGAACUUCAGGGAGGCGAGGAAUUAUUUUCUUUUUAAGGCUUCUCCUUGUAGAUAACUGAGAAGAGAAUGACACUUUUCUAUUAUUAUGCCUGUACAAUGAGGGUGUUGGGCUUGAUGGUUUCUGAGCUCCUCAAAGCUCUAAAUCUUUGAUCCCAUGACCCGGGGCCAGCAUGGAUGGAGAGCUGGUUUUGGAGCCUUGAUGAAUAGACAGCGAAUCUUGGACCUGGAUUCAAAUCCUCAUCCCUGACACCUGCUUGCUGUGUAAUCCUGGGAAAGUCCCUUAACUUGAGUCCUUUGGCCCUUCCCUUCUUAGAUUCUGCUCAGAACAGCACUGCAGGGGGAGGAGAUUUAAAAAAAGAAGAGAUUUUAUGGUCUCAUCUACUUACUUCAACACAUGCAUGAUGCUUUCUUCCCAGCAGGUAUGCCUUUCUGGAACUCUGCUAGGGUAGUCCGUUCCAACAUGAAUCUCUAUGUGUUUAAAUGUAAUACAAGACCAUUCCUUUUCUUAGAGAGAUUAAUUGUUCAAAUAGCUCCUCCUAGUUAAUCUCCGUCAGUAAGAAACAAAUAUCCUAGAAUGACCACACACACUCACGCGCACACACACAUGCAAGCCUGACUAAAUCAAUACUCCAUCUCUUUGGAGCUUAGAGGAAUGAACACUCAUGGCCUUGGGGAAUGCUGGGAGACUUGGCUUAAAAAAUGUGCCUUCAUCUUGCUUUCUGUGUAGUAGGGAAGAAUAAUGCUUGUGCCUACUUCACAUGAAUGCCGUGAAGGGCAAACGGGCCAGUUUUGGUCCUCAGCUGUAGGCACUGCUAUUUUUAGUCUUUGGGGCCCUGGGAGAUGGGUGGUAUGCAGAGACAGGGCCAGGAGCCAGACCUGGAUUAGAAAGGAAAGCAUUAGGCAAUGGGAGAAGGCUGUGGCUUGGGAAGUUGUUAGCUAGCAUUUGAGGUAGAAUAGGAAUCUGGAUCCAAAUGCACAGGCUUCGUGAAUGUGGGGACCAUGUUGGAUGGAGAAACAAAAUGGAAUCUCAAUAUACUCGGUGCUGAUAACCUGUAUUCUGCAAUUGUCAUGCUUGUAACUUUCAAGAAUCCAAUUGGUUCAGUGGAAGAAUACCACUCAGCUGGGAUGGGUCUACCACCAGGGGUUCACGUUCUAGUGAUGGGCAUAGCUGUAAGGAAGAAUAAUUCACAAGAGCGGCAAGAACUGUGUCAAUGAAUGGGUGUCCUACAACAUCUAAGGCUCAGCUUCUUAAUGACACACUGAAGGCAUUUGGGCAGAAUUUCCUGCUCUGGUCUAGAAUACAAAGAGACUCCAAAUUGACUGUUUCUAGAGACAAGUGAACUGGACAAUAGAGUGGCUGUAUUCAACGGAAUUUAACAAGUCUUUGCUGGAAGUCACUAACACCCUGGCUACUGAGGACAAAGUCAUUAAGACCAUCGUAUAUGAAUCAACUCAGCUAUUGAAGAUCAUUGGGCAAGAGGUUGUCACCAAGAUGGGAUGAACAAAAAGCUGCCCAUGAGAGUCGAAGCACCAACUUCCAAAAUCUCCUCUUGUUCCAUAAAUAUCUCCUGUCCCAUAGAUAUGUUCUGACCUGCUACCUUGGCUAACAUUUCCUCCAUUAAAGUUAUUCUUUUGGGUCUCUAA